AGCACACUUGAGAGAGCUGAGGCAAGCUACAAAGAGAACCGUCUGCCCUGAGGCAGAAGGCUUGACAGACAGGUACCUUGGAUACAAGGGCAAAUUCCAUGACUACCAUGGCUGACAAAAUGGACAUGUCAUUGGAAGACAUCCUUAAGCUGAACAAGAUGCAGCAAGGACGUCUUGACAGGCCUGAUUCCCGGGUGAAGCGAGGCACUGGGCCUAAGAGGUAUCGGCCAGCUUUCACCCAUGAUGGAAGGAACAGGCUGGCACCAUACUGCAGACCAAAACAACUUCCAGACAAGUGGCAGCAUGACCUAUUCAUUGGAGGCUUCAGGGGUCAAAACCACGUGGAUACUGGUGGGAAGCUGUUCCUGUCAAAUCUGCACUUCGGAGUGUCAGAUGCUGAUAUUCAGCUACUCUUUGCUGAAUUUGGAACGUUGAAAAAAUCUGCUGUGCACUAUGAUCGCUGUGGACGAAGUUUAGGGACAGCACAUGUGCACUUUGAAAGGAAAGCAGAUGCCCUGAAGGCUAUGAGAGAGUACAAUGGCGCCCCUUUGGAUGGCCGCCCUAUGAACAUCCACCUUGUCACCUCACAGAUUGAUAGACAAGGAAGACCUGCACUAAACAGUGAUAAGGGCGGCAUGACAAGAAACCCUGGCUCUGGAGUAUUAAGUGGUGGAGGCAACAAGAGAUGGACACUUGGAGGCAGCCAGGGAAGAGGGAGAGGCACCAGCAGGAACUCAAAACUGCAGCAGCAGCAGCAGCAGCAGCAGCAGCAGCAGCAGCAGCAGCAGCAGCAAGAGGAGCAGAAGCACCAGAAGCAGCAACAGCAGAAGCAGCAGCAACAGCAGCAGAAGCAGGGACAGAAUCACCAGCACCAGCAGCAGCAGAAGGAGAAGGAACUGCAGCAGCUAUCUGUAGAGGAGCUGGACGCCCAGCUGGAUGCUUAUCAGGAAAUGAUGGACACCAGCUAAACAACUGAGCAAAGCUGCACAACAACGGGACCCAGAGGCUGGUCUCUGAUGCCUAGACUGAGGGUUGGCUACUGGACCAUGAACACAAUGGUGGAUUCCUCCUUUGCUUCUUUUGCUUUUCUCCUGUUUUAAAACCCCAUGUAAAGUUCUUUCUUUCUCUCCUUUCUUUUAUUUACAUUCAGAAAUACACUUGUUUUGUACUGAGUUAUUUUGUGGGUAAAUUGUAGUUUUUGCUUUGGUGAAGUAGGCAUUUUCACCUUUGCCCUAAUAAAAUUGUGUGUGAAAUAAACAAGAGCACACUUGAGAGAGCUGAGGCAAGCUACAAAGAGAACCGUCUGCCCUGAGACAGAAGGCUUGACAGACAGGUACCUUGGAUACAAGGGCAAAUUCCAUGACUACCAUGGCUGACAAAAUGGACAUGUCAUUGGAAGACAUCAUUAAGCUGAACAAGAUGCAGCAAGGACGUCGUGACAGGCCUGAUUCCCGGGUGAAGCGAGGCACUGGGCCUAAGAGGUAUCGGCCAGCUUUCACCCAUGGUGGAAGGAACAGGCUGGCACCAUACUGCAGACCAAAACAACUUCCAGACAAGUGGCAGCAUGACCUAUUCAUUGGAGGCUUCAGGGGUCAAAACCACGUGGAUACUGGUGGGAAGCUGUUCCUGUCAAAUCUGCACUUCGGAGUGUCAGAUGCUGAUAUUCAGCUACUCUUUGCUGAAUUUGGAACGUUGAAAAAAUCUGCUGUGCACUAUGAUCGCUGUGGACGAAGUUUAGGGACAGCACAUGUGCACUUUGAAAGGAAAGCAGAUGCCCUGAAGGCUAUGAGAGAGUACAAUGGCGCCCCUUUGGAUGGCCGCCCUAUGAACAUCCACCUUGUCACUUCACAGAUUGAUAGACAAGGAAGACCUGCACUAAACAGUGAUAAGGGUGGCAUGACAAGAAACCCUGGCUCUGGAGUAUUAAGUGGUGGAGGCACCAAGAGAUGGACACUUGGAGGCAGCCAGGGAAGCGGGAGAGGCACCAGCAGGAACUCAAAACUGCAGCAGCAGCAGCAGCAGCAGCAGCAGCAAGAGGAGCAGAAGCACCAGAAGCAGCAACAGCAGAAGCAGCAGCAACAGCAGCAGAAGCAGGGACAGAAUCACCAGCACCAGCAGCAGCAGAAGGAGCAGCAGCAGCAACAGCAGCAGAAGGAACUGCAGCAGCUAUCUGUAGAGGAGCUGGACGCCCAGCUGGAUUAUUAUCAGGAUAUGAUGGACACCAGCUAAACAACUGAGCAAAGCUGCCCAACAACGGGACCCAGAGGCUGGUCUCUGAUGCCUAGACUGAGGGUUGGCUACUGGACCAUGAACACAAUGGUGGAUUCCUCCUUUGCUUCUUUUGCUUUUCUCCUGUUUUAAAACCCCAUGUAAAGUUCUUUCUUUCUCUCCUUCUUUCUUUUAUUUACAUUCAGAAAUACACUUGUUUUGUACUGAGUUAUUUUGUGGAUAAAUUGUAGUUUUUGCUUUGGUGAAGUAGGCAUUUUCACCUUUGCCCUAAUAAAAUUGUGUGUGAAAUAAACAAGAGCACACUUGAGAGAGCUGAGGCAAGCUACAAAGAGAACCGUCUGCCCUGAGACAGAAGGCUUGACAGACAGGUACCUUGGAUACAAGGGCAAAUUCCAUGACUACCAUGGCUGACAAAAUGGACAUGUCAUUGGAAGACAUCCUUAAGCUGAACAAGAUGCAGCAAGGACGUCUUGACAGGCCUGAUUCCCGGGUGAAGCGAGGCACUGGGCCUAAGAGGUAUCGGCCAGCUUUCACCCAUGAUGGAAGGAACAGGCUGGCACCAUACUGCAGACCAAAACAACUUCCAGACAAGUGGCAGCAUGACCUAUUCAUUGGAGGCUUCAGGGGUCAAAACCACGUGGAUACUGGUGGGAAGCUGUUCCUGUCAAAUCUGCACUUCGGAGUGUCAGAUGCUGAUAUUCAGCUACUCUUUGCUGAAUUUGGAACGUUGAAAAAAUCUGCUGUGCACUAUGAUCGCUGUGGACGAAGUUUAGGGACAGCACAUGUGCACUUUGAAAGGAAAGCAGAUGCCCUGAAGGCUAUGAGAGAGUACAAUGGCGCCCCUUUGGAUGGCCGCCCUAUGAACAUCCACCUUGUCACCUCACAGAUUGAUAGACAAGGAAGACCUGCACUAAACAGUGAUAAGGGCGGCAUGACAAGAAACCCUGGCUCUGGAGUAUUAAGUGGUGGAGGCAACAAGAGAUGGACACUUGGAGGCAGCCAGGGAAGAGGGAGAGGCACCAGCAGGAACUCAAAACUGCAGCAGCAGCAGCAGCAGCAGCAGCAGCAGCAGCAGCAGCAGCAGCAGCAAGAGGAGCAGAAGCACCAGAAGCAGCAACAGCAGAAGCAGCAGCAACAGCAGCAGAAGCAGGGACAGAAUCACCAGCACCAGCAGCAGCAGAAGGAGAAGGAACUGCAGCAGCUAUCUGUAGAGGAGCUGGACGCCCAGCUGGAUGCUUAUCAGGAAAUGAUGGACACCAGCUAAACAACUGAGCAAAGCUGCACAACAACGGGACCCAGAGGCUGGUCUCUGAUGCCUAGACUGAGGGUUGGCUACUGGACCAUGAACACAAUGGUGGAUUCCUCCUUUGCUUCUUUUGCUUUUCUCCUGUUUUAAAACCCCAUGUAAAGUUCUUUCUUUCUCUCCUUUCUUUUAUUUACAUUCAGAAAUACACUUGUUUUGUACUGAGUUAUUUUGUGGGUAAAUUGUAGUUUUUGCUUUGGUGAAGUAGGCAUUUUCACCUUUGCCCUAAUAAAAUUGUGUGUGAAAUAAACAAGUAUUCUAGAGUCAU
rnacentral:lncRNA from 1 species